CAAGAGUGACCCUGAUAUCCCAAGCAUCCAACGUUUCCAAGCUUGAAUCCAACACGAGCGAUUCCACACUCAAGUUGGUAUCCCUAGUUACAAUUUCGGGUUGGUGGUCUUCUCUCUUUAAAGAGAAAAUAUUUCAAGUGUUAUAAACUCAUAAUAUUCAUCAAAAUCUAACUAAUGAAACCUUACGUUAUUCUAUUUAUAGUGUAUUACAAAUAACAGGUAAAAUGACCAAAAGACCCCUUAGUGAAGCGGCACCCCUCUAGUGUAUGUAGUGGACUGAUUUGGCCCUUUUAGUGUAUGUAGUGGACUAUUUUUGUGUCCAUUUAGGUGCUCCUUUGCACUUCAUUGAACACACCAAACCUCAGGUCUUACGUACGCCCUCAUAAGUCUAUCUACGUGAUCGUACUCAUACCAUCCUCCCCUUCUUGAAAAGGAUUCGACCUCGAAUUCGUACCUUGCAAAUUCAAAGAGAAAACAAACAAGUACACAUUCUCAUGGCAUGAGGGUUAGGGUUAGCAAAAUAAAUAAUUAGCACUAUCAUGCCACGGUGGUAUACACUUGAAGUACAACCAAGGAUACUUUGUGUUAAUUAUGAAAAACUUUUGUACAACAUCACAAACGAAAAGGCUCGGAUGAACAUCAAGAAUUAAGGGACAAAAAUCGAGACUACGCCUCUCAUACGAUGUAUAUAUAACAACAUCAUGAACAUCAUCAUAUGCAUAUAGGUAGUGAAGAAAGGCACCAAAGACACAAUUCUCAUCUAAGAUGUAUUCACAAGUAGGAACACACAAUGAGAGAAAGGGACAUUGCAAGCACGUAGGAUGUCUCUCCUUCCAACCACUUACCGAAGGAAGACAUUCCAUCAAGGAAGUCAUACCAAUAGGGAGAAUAGGGAAACUACCAUGCAAGACUCCAAUCUAAGGUAAGUAGUUUGCCUAAGAACUCGGGUUUCCUCUACAAAUGAUGUGAAGCACUCUCCCAAGAGUCCCCCAAGAUACUUCAACUUGUCCAACCCCAUGAAGGUGAUAAGAAGUCUUUAACAUCCUUGGACCCUUCCACAAACAAGAAUACAACUUGGCAUCCUCAAAUUGUGGUUCACAUAACUUAAAUAAAAGUGUGUCAAACAUGGAUGCACAGAUAUGAGCAACACCCCAAAGAGACCAUGACAUAUUUGCCCUACGGUUCUCAAGUAGACAUAAACCACCAUUAACAUCAAAGAGAUCACAAUUCAAGUCACCAUAUUUGUCAAACAUGGGUGAGGUGUCAUGCAAAGGAGUACAAGCAAAAUCAUUUUUCAAUGAUAUGUCAAGCACAUGAUUAACCCUAUGAGCCAAGCAAACAUUAGAAUCUUUACAACAAUAUAGGCUCACGGGUUCACUCCUUUGUCCUUGACCACAUCUUCAAAUUCUUCACUCACUUGAGAUUCAUUAAUCACAUCCUACAUAUUCUCAAGUGGUGGGAAAGUUUUACACACAAGUUGAUCAACACAAUUUUCACAUGACGAUGUACUUUCAUUCAACACAAUAGCUUCAACACUAGAUGGACACAAAUUGAAUUACUAGAAGAGUCAAUUCGGUCAUCUAUAGGAUCAAAUAGUGUAUCCAUUCACACAACAUGUACAUCAUCCACAAGUGUCAAAGAAUCAAUAUACUCAUAUGUAGGUAAGCUACUACUCACACUCAACGGCUUAUUAGUCACAUGUUCAUCAUUCACAUGUACCAAAGUAUACGAGUUAGCUAUUUUACCUUGACAUUCAUGAGUAUGUUCGUCUUUACCUCGAUGUGAAAGUCCUUCACAAGUUUGGGAAAAAACUUCCUUUGGGAAGCUCUCACCGCAAGGUGUUUGGACCUUAGGUUUUGGAUUUGUUGGGAUAAGUGUGGAUACCAUUGGCGUAGCCUUUCAACGUGCCCUUUCAUGUCUUCAAUAUUGUCAGUGAUGCGGUCAAAUGUGGCAUCUUGGUGGCAGCCAUGGUACCUAAAAUAAAAGACAACAACGAACAACAAAACAACAAACUUGUUAGCUCAAGAAUGCUUCACCACACUCUCACUCUCGAUUUUUACCUCACACUUGGUUUCACAAGUGUUGAAAGUCGGCUUGUACUUCGCGUGUGAUUGAGGGUCGAGUCUAGUCUUGUCCGGAAUAGAUUUUUGUUUGAGUUGACUCAAAGAAAAUUUGUUUACAGACUUGAACCAACAAGAUACAACGAAUUCACAAAAGAUAAAAGCACACAAUAAAUGUAGACAUGAACAAACGAACUCUACAACUAACUUACAAUCUAGUAGGAGAUUACUAGUUUGUUAAUUAGUGUUCGAACCAACAAACGGAACUAAGACACAAUAAAAUGAAACUAAGAAAUUUGAAAUUGAGCUUAAAAAUUAUCGGUGAACUGUAAAAAUGUGAUGUGGCAGCCACGUAUUGGUUGCGGUUGUUAUCAAAUUUUAUUUUCUAAUUCAAGUCUUGGUCCAAUUGUAAUUUGGAAUUGGUGGGAAUUGGUUAAGGAGAGAAAACAAGUCUUGAAAUCCUCUUUCAAAUUCAAAAAGCAAGACUUAACUUUUCUCCUCAAGACAUGCUCCUUAAAUCAUGGAAGGUUGUUGGAAAAGUGGCUGUUAAAGUACUUGAGUGGUUGGAAUUGGUUGUAAAAGUCUUGAGAGGUCUUAAAUUUUGGAAAUAUGUCUUUCAAGACUAACAAAAUACACACUCUCUUUCUUCAACUUCCAAGAUCAAAUAUCCAUAUUUUCUUCAACAAUAGAUGAAGAUGUGAAGAACACCAAGAACACAUUUUUUUGAAUUUUGAAGUUUUAAGGUUCACGUUGGACCCCAAACAUCAAUAAUACCUUUCCAAGCUUAAAAAUACAACACAAUAACCACCAUACACAUUCAAAUCUUGAACCAACAACGCACCACACGUCCAAGAUUUGAAUCCACAACAAUAAUACCAACAACAAUCACACGACCAAAGUUUAGGUUCACAACAACAACAUCCACAAUUAAAGCUCAAAUCUAGAUCUAGACUUCUUUAGUGUUAGAGGUGAAGAAGCUAGCACUAGAAACAACAAAACAAAUAAAAUGACUUCUAGAUCUAGACUCAAAACAAGAAAAAUCUCGCCCAAGACAUAACAAGAACACAAUUUUGGCCAAGACACAAAAAUGGACAGAUUUGCUUCUUUUUGAAAUUUUUAGAUUUCAACUUUUUUUUUUUUUGAAUUUUCUAACAAGCAAGCCCAAGAUUGAUCUUGUUGGAACAAGAUCUAUCCAUGCUUUGAUACCAAAUGAUACAAGAAAGACAAGAAAACAUGAAACAAACACCAAAAUCAGUCCACUAGCCAAGAAAUCGAGGACCACUUUUGGUGACCCCUCUCAGAUUUGCUACCAAGAAGAAGAAUACAAAAUACAAUGGCGUAAUAACACCAAAAUAGUAGCAACACAACAAGAACAAGAUGAACAAUAGACUAAUUUUGGAUUCCACAUUAACAACACAAACACACGGUUACAACAUCAACACUACUACAGGAUUACAAAGAAACAAAAAGAUAGAUAGUUAGACAAAUUGAAGGUAUAAUAUUAACAACCCAAAGGCCUAUUCCACUCUUGGACCUUUAGCAUCACACACACCAAUUACCUAACUCUUACGUUGGCACAAGAGUGACCCCGAUCUCCCAAGAAUCCAACGUUUCCAAGCUUGAAUCCAACAUGAGCGAUUCUACACUCAAGUUGAUUUACCUAGUUACAAUUCGGGUUGGUGGUAUUCUCUCCUUAGAGAGAAAAUAUUUCAAGUGUUAUAAACUUAUAAUAUUCAUCAAAAUAUAACUAAUAAAACCCUACAUUAUUCUAUUUAUAGUGCAUUACAAAUAAUAGGUAAAAUGACCAAAAGGCCCCUUAGUGAAGGGGCACCCCUCUAGUGUAUGUAGUGGACUGAUUUGGCCCUUUUAGUGUAUGUAGUGGACUAUUUUUGUGUCCAUUUAGGUGCUCCUUUGCACUUCAUUGAACACACCAAGCCUCGGGUCUAACGUAAGCCCUCAUAAGUCCAUCUACGUAAUCGUACGCGUAUCACAAUCCCGAUCUCCAUAUUUUCGGAUUUUUCAGUGAGUGUGUGUGUGUGCGAUUUGUGCGUGAAUCUGUGUGUUGAGAGUGAAGAUCUGUGAGGUGUUGUGAAUAUGACGUCUCUGUGUGUGUGUGAAUUAUUGAUGGUGAGUGUUUCUGUGUAAGGUGUAUAUGUGUAUUCUGUUGAUGGAAUUCGGUUUGUGAGUGUACGUAUAUUGUGAAGAGGACAGAAAAAAUGGCUUCUCCGUAUAUGCGUAUGUGAUGAAGAAAAGAGAAACCAAUUCUCCUUCCAGUGGUGUUGCGUACUGUGUGUAUCUGUAUCCUCCCCUUUGAAUAAUCUCUCCCUUCUGUAUAUAUCCCUUAUGCAAAAAUGAAAAAAAAAUCAAGAUUGUAUGUGUUUUCCUGGGAAUUUUUGUGGGUCCCCCUUUGGAAUUG
rnacentral:lncRNA from 1 species